rnacentral:rRNA from 1 species
AGUGAACGCUGGCGGUAGGCCUAACACAUGCAAGUCGAACGGCAGCACAGUAAGAGCUUGCUCUUACGGGUGGCGAGUGGCGGACGGGUGAGGCAUACAUCGGAAUCUACUUUUUCGUGGGGGAUAACGUAGGGAAACUUACGCUAAUACCGCAUACGUCCUACGGGUGAAAGCAGGGGAGCUUCGGACCUUGCGCGUUUGAAUGAGCCGAUGACGGAUUAGCUAGUUGGCGGGGUAAAGGCCCACCAAGGCGACGAUCCGUAGCUGGUCUGAGAGGAUGAUCAGCCACACUGGAACUGAGACACGGUCCAGACUCCUACGGGAGGCAGCAGUGGGGAAUAUUGGACAAUGGGCGCAAGCCUGAUCCAGCCAUACCGCGUGGGUGAAGAAGGCCUUCGGGUUGUAAAGCCCUUUUGUUGGGAAAGAAAAGCAGCAGGUUAAUACCCCGCUGUUCUGACGGUACCCAAAGAAUAAGCACCGGCUAACUUCGUG